GGAAAACCCAUAUUGCUGUUUUGCUUAUCUAUGAGAUGGGGCACUUAAUAAAGAAACCCCAGAAGAGCAUUUGUGUGUUUCUUGCUCCCACUGUGGCAUUGGUGCAACAGCAAGCCAAGGUCAUAGAGGAGUCUAUUGACUUCAAAGUUGGAACAUACUGCGGCAAAUCAAAGCAUUUGAAGAGUCACCAAGACUGGGAGAAAGAAAUGGAACAGUAUGAGGUCCUUGUUAUGACCCCUCAAAUACUGCUACAUAAUCUUUCCCACUGCUAUAUCAGGAUUGAAUUUAUUGCUCUUCUGAUAUUUGAUGAGUGUCAUUAUGCA
rnacentral:misc_RNA from 1 species